rnacentral:rRNA from 1 species
GACGAACGCUGGCGGCGUGCCUAAUACAUGCAAGUCGAACGCUUCUUUCCUCCCGAGUGCUUGCUCUCAAUUGGAAAGAGGAGUGGCGGACGGGGGAGUAACACGUGGGUAACCUACCCAUCAGAGGGGGAUAACACUUGGAAACAGGUGCUAAUACCGCAUAACAGUUUAUGCCGCAUGGCAUAAGAGUGAAAGGCGCUUUCGGGUGUCGCUGAUGGAUGGACCCGCGGUGCAUUAGCUAGUUGGUGAGGUAACGGCUCACCAAGGCCACGAUGCAUAGCCGACCUGAGAGGGUGAUCGGCCACACUGGGACUGAGACACGGCCCAGACUCCUACGGGAGGCAGCAGUAGGGAAUCUUCGGCAAUGGACGAAAGUCUGACCGAGCAACGCCGCGUGAGUGAAGAAGGUGUUCGGAUCGUAAAACUCUGUUGUUAGAGAAGAACAAGGACGUUAGUAACUGAACGUCCCCUGACGGUAUCUAACCAGAAAGCCACGGCUAACUACGUG